GAGACAAGCCUCACAGUGGUUCGGAAUUUCGUUCGGAGCAUCGAUUUCGAGAGUAAAUGCAUUCCGAUUCAGAUGGUCAUUCGGUUGCUCGACGAGGCGAUGACCAAGCAUGUAAGGGAAUCGGGAUGGAAUUUAUAAAAGUUCGGGGAAAAUCACAAUAUUUUGGCGCGAAAAAAAUGCAAAAAAAUUGCACAAAAAUCACAAUUUUCGAGCUCUAAAACUAAAAAAAAUUUUUAUUUUUCAAAAAAAAAUUCCAGAAAUUACACGACGACGACCUUGUGCUCGAAUUUAUUCAAGGAAGUGAAGCUCUUCUUCCCCAAUCCCGUCCACUGAAGCUUCUGGAUGAUCUUUUCAAGCUCUAUGUCAAUCCAGAUGUCUUUGCGAUUCGAAAGCCUGAAGCAUGGCUGUGUAAGAAUCGAUUUUUGAGGAAAAUUGAUGGAAAAAUGAAGAAUUUGGCUACAGAAACCUUGAAAGUUUCAAUGAAAUUAAGGAAAUUAGUGCGAAUUUUUAAAAUUUCUAAAAAUUCAAGAUUUAAAAUUUUCCGCCAAUUUUUGCAUGAAUUCUGGAAAAAAUUAAUUAUAUCAACAUUAUUGAUUUUUUUUUGCACAAAAAAAAUAUAUCCGAAAAUAUUAAUAAUUCUUAAUAAUUCGGAAAAAUUAAAAUUCUUAAUUUGAAAUUAACUUUUUUUGCCAAAUACCUGAAACAGAUAUUUGUGAGCGUCGACAAAAUCGACAAUUUGGCAGUUUGCCGAUUUGCCGGAAAUUUUAAAUUCCGGCAAUUUGCUGAUUUGCCGGAAAUUUUCAAUUCGGGCAAUUCGCCAAUUUUCCGGAACUUUUUUUCAAUUCCGGCAAUUUACCGACUUGCCGGAAAUUUUCAUUUUCGGGAAAUUGCCGAUUUGCCGGAAAUUUCAAAUUCCGGCAAUUUGCUGAUUUACCGGAAAUUUUCAAUUCGGGCAAUUCGCCAAUUUUCCGAUUUGCUAGAAAUGCUCAAUUCCGCUAAUUUGCCGAUUUGCGGGAAACGUUCAAUUCCGGUAAAUUGCCGAUUUGCCGGAAAUUUUUAAUUCCGGCACUUUGCCGAUUUGCCGGAAAUUUUUAAUUCCGGCAUAUUGCUGAUUUGCCGGAAAUUUUCAACUCCGGCAAUUUCCCGAUUUGUUGGAAAUGUUUAAUUUGGGCAAUUCCGGCAGGUUGCCAAUUUGCCGGAAAUUUUUAAUUCCGGCAAACUGCAUAUUUGCCGGAAAUUUUCAAUUCCGGCAACUUCCCGAUUUGCCGGAAAUUUCCAACUCCGGCAAUUUGCCGAUUUGUCGGAAAUUUUGUAAUUUCAGCAAUUUGCCGAUUCGCCGGAAAUUUUCAAUUUCAGCAAUUUGCCGAUUUGCCGUAAAUUUCCAAUUCCGGCAAUUUGCCGAUUUUCCGGAAAUUUUCAAUUUCAGCAAUUUGCCGAUUUGCCGGAAAUUUUCAAUUUCAGCAAUUUGCCGAUUUGCCGGAAAUUUUCAAUUUCAGCAAUUUGCCGAUUUGCCGUAAAUUUCCAAUUCCGGCAAUUUGCCGAUUUGCCGGAAAUUUCCAAUUCCGGCAAUUUGCCGAUUUGCCGGAAACUUUCGUUUUCGGCGAAUUGCCCAUUUGCCGGAAAUUUUCUAUUCAUGCAUUUUGCCGGUUUGCCGGAAAUUUUCAAUUCCAGCAACUUGCUGAUUUGCCGGAAAUUCCCACUUUCGGCACUUUGCCGAUUUGCUGAUUUGCCGGAAAUUUCAAUUCCCGCAUAUUGCCGAUUCGCCGGAAAUUUUUAAUUCCCGCAUAUUGCCGAUUUGCCGGAAAUUACAAUUCCGGCAAUUUCUUGAUCGGCCGAAAAUUUUCAUUCUCAAAAAAUUCAAAAAAAAACCAAAAACAAAAAAAAUGUUUUUUUUUAAUUUCAGCCGUAAUCCGCUGGGCUAUCAACGAGAUUGACCAGGAACACACAUCCGUAUUCCUCCGCCGUCGAUAUUCUGACUUCAUCUGUCAAGUACCUUCCACAGAAGCUCGCCGGCUCCUUAUCAUCUCUGGAGCAGUGGAAAUAUUCGCGAGAAGAAGCCGCGCGAGCCCAUCUUCGUGUAUUGCCGAUGCGGCGACACAGAUCCUCAGCAGAUAUGCUAUGGAUUUGGCAGCCGAGGAAUGUAUCACUUAUGUGGAGAGUUUGAGAAAUUCGCCGAGGCAAGGCGAGAGGUCGCUGAAGCUUCUUGUCAAGUUGAAGGAGUAAGGGAUUUUCAGGAAUUUAGAAAACAAAAAUUUUAAAUGUUGCUAAAAAGUUACCUAAAUUUUAUUUAAAAUUAAUGUGAACAAAUUUUUUUUUAGUAAAAAAUUUUAUACCUCAAUUUUUUCAUUAGUUUUGAGGUUUUUUUUCAUUUGGAAAUUCGAUUUUAAACGUAAUUAUGUUUUUUUCUUAAUUCACUCAAAAUUUUUUAAAUUCCGAAUUCUUUUUUUUUUGUUAAAAAUGUGAAUUUUUAAUUUUUUUUUUAAAUUAAUUUUUUACUGACUUUAUAGUGGUAAAUUAUCAAAUUUUUUGUUGAAAAAAAAUCGAUUUUUUCUAGAUUUGAUAAUUAAUCUUUUUUUUUUCAAAUUAUUGCGAAAAAAAAUUAAAUUUUUUUUUGAAAUUCCAAUUUUUAUGCCAUUUUUUGAAUUUCACUGUUUCUCAGAUUUUUUUUUCGAAAAAUAUCGAUUUUUCUAGAUUUGAUAAUUUUUCACUAUAAAGUCUUAACAUUUUUUUGCAGAUUUUUCUAAUGCGGAAGUGAUUUUAGUGAAAUUUCUAAAAAAAAAAGUGCAUAGGAAUUUUCAAAUAUAUGACUAUAUUUUUACUAGAAAUUUUUAGAUUUUUUACCAAUUGUAAUGUUUCGGCAAACGGCAAAUCGGCAAAUUUUCGGAACUGAAAAUUUCCGGCAAGUCGGCAUACUACCGAAACUCAAAAUUUCGAAAUUUGCCGAUUUGCGGAAUAUGCCGAAAAAAAACGGCAAUUACCGAAAAGUUUCGGCAAAUUGUGGUUUUUUUUUUUGGAAAUUUCAGAAUUUCAAUUUUAAUCGUUUUUUUUUUUGAAAAGUGAGCAAAUUGAAAUUGAAAAUUUCCAGCAAACCGGCAAUUUUCACAAAUUGGAAAGUGCCGGUAAAUCGACAAACUGGCAAUUUGCUGGAAAUAAGAAUUUCCGGCAAAGUUGCCGAGUUUGUCGACAAAAAAAUUGCCUAGCUGGAAUUGAGUUUUCAGCUUCUCAAAUUAAAAAAAAUUAAUUUCUAUUAUAUUUUUAGGAAUUUUUGAAUCGAUAUUCUCAAUUUUGAAAAAAAAAAUUUUUUAAUCAAAUUUUUCCUACUUUUUUGGUACUUUUUUUCCAAUUUUUCGAAUUUUAUUUCUGGCACCCACCUGCUCAAAAGACCCGUCACCUCCCCAAUAGUGAUCUUAAUCUCUCAUAAAAAACCCGCUAGAUAUCCGGCAAAUCGGCAAACCGGCAAAUUGCCGGAAUGAAAAUUUCCGGCAAACCGGCAACUUGACGAUUUGCCGAACUUGAAAACAAAAUAAAAUUACAGCCCACCCCUGUUUUAUAUAUUAAAAAGUUUCACAAUUACCGUGCAAAACUUCCAAAAUCUAAAAAUUUUCAAUUUUGGCACUUUGCCGAUUCGCCAAAUUCGCCGAAAAAACGGCAAAAUUGUACGUAUCCUAUGAAUGAUCAUACAUUUACGGCAGGUUGAUAUCCGGCAAAUCGGCAAUUUUCUGAAAAUGAAAAUUCCGGCAAAUCGGAAAAUUGCCGGGAUUGAACAUUUCCGGCAAACCGGCAAUUUGCCGAUUUGCCAAACUGCAAUUGCCGCCCAUCCCUGAUUUAAUUACAAAAUCAACUGUCUACCGAAAAAUCUUCAACAUUUUUGGAAAAAAAUUAUUUUUUUUUACAGAAUCCACUCAAAUCUGACAAUUCCGCUGACACCUGGCUCAUGGUCGAACGAGUCGAAUCGCGUUGACGUCAUCAGUCUCCUACUCGCCCUGAAUCCCAAUCCAUGUGACGGAAUCGAAGCCUACCGUGAUAAUGAUCAUCUGAUUGAGAAUGUGGAUCAACUAAUCGAUAUGCUUCUCUAUUCGCCAGCCGUCAAAAUUUAUCAUAAGACGAAGAUUCUGCAUCGGAUGAAUGAACGACAUUUUAAGACGUUUUUCGAGCAGUUGAUCGUUGAUGUUAAGAUUGAGAGCAAGAUUACUAUUGGGGAGGUGACGGGUCUUUUGAGCAG
rnacentral:sRNA from 1 species